CACUAGUGUAAAUCGUCAUUGCUGCGGUUAAAAAGCUCGUAGUUGGAUCUGAGUUGCAUGCAGUGGUUCGCCUUUGGCGUUAAUCACUGUUGCGACUAUUUGCUGGUUUUCUGCAGAGAUUUCGAUUUCUGUAGUGGCUAGCGAGUUUACUUUGAAUAAAUUAGAGUGCUCAGAACAAGCGUUUGCUUGAAUGAUCGAUCAUGGAAUAAUAGAAGAGGACUUCGGUUCUAUUUAUUGGUUCAGGAACUGAAAUAAUGGUUAAGAGGGACAAUUCGGGGGCAUUCGUAUCCCUGCGCGAGAGGUGAAAUUCGUGGACCGCAGGGGGACGCCCUAAAGCGAAAGCAUUUGCCAAGAAUGUCUUCAUUAAUCAAGAACGAAAGUCAGAGGUUCGAAGGCGAUUAGAUACCGCCCUAGUUCUGACCGUAAACUAUGCCAUCUAGCGAUCCGAUGGGGUAUUGUUGCCUUGUCGAGGAGCUUCCCGGAAACGAAAGUCUUUCGGUUCCUGGGGUAGUAUGGUUGCAAAGCUGAAACUUAAAGAAAUUGACGGAAUGGCACCACCAGGAGUGGAGCCUGCGGCUUAAUUUGACUCAACACGGGAAAACUCACCCGGCCCGGACACCGUAAGGAUUGACAGAUUGAAAGCUCUUUCUCGAUUUGGUGGUUGGUGGUGCAUGGCCGUUCUUAGUUGGUGGAGCGAUUUGUCUGGUUUAUUCCGAUAACGAGCGAGACUCUAGCUUGCUAAAUAGUGACUGGAUUUUCACGUCUAGUUCACUUCUUAGAGGGAUAAGCGGUGUUUAGCCGCACGAGAUUGAGCGAUAACAGGUCUGUGAUGCCCUUAGAUGUUCGGGGCUGCACGCGCGCUACAAUGGAAGAAUCAGCUGGCCUACCCAUUGCCGAAAGGUAUUGGUAAACCGUUGAAACUCUUCCGUGACCGGGAUAGGGAAUUGUAAUUAUUUCCCUUGAACGAGGAAUUCCUAGUAAGUGUGAGUCAUCAGCUCACGCUGAUUACGUCCCUGCCAUUUGUACACACCGCCCGUCGCUGUCCGGGACUGAGCUGUCUCGAGAGGACUGCGGACUACUGUAUUGAGGCCUUCGGGUCGCGAUAUGGCGGGAAACAGUUCAAUCGCAAUGGCUUGAACCGGGUAAAAGUCGUAACAAGGUAUCUGUAGGUGAACCUGCAGAUGGAUCAUCG
rnacentral:rRNA from 1 species